rnacentral:rRNA from 1 species
AUGAAUCAGGAGUUAAUCAAGCACCUUGAGGCCAAAGUGUGUGCUGAUAGCGCGAGAUCUCACCCUCUCAUUGAUUUGUUCAUACCAACCAUCGACAGUGAGCACGGCAUAUGCUACACCCAUCCUCAGAAACUUCCAGGUAUCACACUGAGUGGCCUAAGCAAGCAUUUCUUCCAGCGCAACUCUAGGGCAUUCAAAAGGGGCACGUGGACGCGUCACAAGAUACAGUCAAACUGCGGCAUGCACACGAUGUGGCACAAGACUGGCAAUAUCUUGCCGGUGAUGGUCAACGGCCGGCAGACGGGCAGCAAAAAGGUUCUAGUGCUGCACACCAACGAGAACUUCGACCAGCAAAGGACCAACUGGGUGAUGCACCAGUACCACCUCGGGGACCUGGAGAAAGAGAAGGAGCGGGAGCUAGUCCUCCGCAAGAUUUUUCGUCUGCAAGUUCGUAUUGUUGUUAACGAUCUUUCGCAUAAGGACCUGCCGUUCGAAUUCCCAGUUCUCCAAAAAAUUUACGUCUUCGACGUACGCAGGAGAUCCAUCCGGUUUCACAGACUGAUAGUUGGACACAUCACGUCGGAACUGGGCUGUGGCAUGCCAAACCCAGCUGCAAAUUGUUAA